rnacentral:misc_RNA from 1 species
GAUGAAGAACGUAGCGAAAUGCGAUACGUAAUGUGAAUUGCAAAUUCAGUGAAUCAUCGAGUCUUUGAACGCACAUUGCGCCCCCUGGUAUUCCGGGGGGCAUGCCUGUCCGAGCGUCAUUGCUGCCCUCAAGCACGGCUUGUGUGUUGGGCCCCGUCCUCCGAUCCCGGGGGACGGGCCCGAAAGGCAGCGGCGGCACCGCGUCCGGUCCUCGAGCGUAUGGGGCUUUGUCACCCGCUCUGUAGGCCCGGCCGGCGCUUGCCGAUCAACCCAAAUUUUUAUCCAGGUUGACCUCGGAUCAGGUAGGGAUACCCGCUGGACUUAAGCAUAUCAAUAAGCGGAGGA